CAUAUCAAUGGUUACUGAUUUUGACCUUGAGGCACCAUCAAAGUCACCACCGCCACCUCCAAAAGUUUCACCUCCACCGAAGCAAGUGAAGGAUGAUCUUGAGGCGCCGUCAAGUCAACCACCUCCAUCACCCCAACCAGACACCCCACCGAAACCACCAGGGACAGACGAUGUUGAGGCGCCAUCAAAAUCACCACCUCCAGCUCCAAAAGUAGCACCACCGAUCCACCCAUUCUCAUGCUUAAACUCUCCUCCUUCGGACGACGACUUGAUCAUAUCAAUGGUUACUGAUUUUGACUUUGAGGCACCAUCAAAAUCACCACCUCCACCUCCACCUCCAAAAUUUUCACCUCCAUCAAAGCACGUGAAGGAUGAUCUUGAGGCGCCAUCAAGAACACCACCUCCAGCUCCCACAGUAGCACCCCCACAGAAACCACCCAGGACCGAAGAUUUUGAGGCGCCAUCAAGAUCACCACCUCCAGCUCCAAAGGUAGCACCGCCAUGGAAACCAGGGAUCAACGAUUUUGAGGCGCCAUCAAAAUCACCACCUCCACCCCCAAAAGUAUCACCCCCAACCCACAAUAUUAACAAUUCCGAGAGGACAUACAAAUCACCGCCGCCAUCUCAGAAUUCAUCACCUUCGACCCACCAGUUAACCAAAGAAUUUGGCGGACUUAUUAUGAUUAUAUCUGAAAGAUCCCCGCCCUCUGCCGAGUCUUAUUAUUCAGCUUAUUAAUUCCCUUCACAGUCCUUAGUUAGGACCUGCCUUUAAGUUUGGGCGUGUUGAUUAGUUGUUGUGUAGCUGCUGAACUUUUUUUUGCAUCGAGUGUGGUGUGAGUAUGAAGUUUUUCUCCCUACAUCCUCUCUCUCUCUCUCUUUAUUAGUAUGGCUCUCGCUCUCUCUCUCUCCCCACAUUGUCUCUACUUCUCUCUCUUCAUUCAAACUCCUGCAUCCUCUCUCUCUUCUCCCUCUCUCUCCCCCCUCUUUCUUCUGCAUCCCUUGCGCGAUCAACACCAUCUCUAAAUAGAGCUGCAGUCGUGGCGGUUUCUUCACUCUCGCUGAGUUGGAUUCCAAAAACCUUCAAAGAAAAUAUCUAUCAUUAUUCUCCGUUCUCCGUUCUUGAUUUCCGACUAUACUUCAUCGUGUCCAUUAUCUUUCACAACCUCAUUGAAUCGAGUCACCUAAAAUUUUGUUUGCGUCCGUUCUCUCUCUAGAGAGAUGUACAUCUCCUCUUUUACUAUCUUCACUCUCUCAACCCACCUAUCGCUCCCCCUCUCUCCUCUCACCCUCCUCUCCCACUCCACCUCGUCGUCACCGUAGUCAUCCUUCCCCUUGUCUCGCCCUCUCUCACCUCUGCUCAAGGCGUGACCCAAUAAAACCCAAAAAAUACAACGUAUCCCAAUUCUCACUCGGUUUGCAUGCAGAAUGAGACUAGACUAGCGGUCCAGAUUAGUUUCAGUGUUGUCAGACAGCGGUGGUCGUGGGUACGCGUUGUACAAGGCGAAGUUAAAUCCCAUGU
rnacentral:lncRNA from 1 species